AUGUUUUGUUGUUGCAGCAAAAACAAUCUAAAUCAGACACUGCAGUGGCACAAACCUGGGAAGACAGUCCCUAUAUGUUCAUCAUCAAAAUUGAGGCAAAUCAUCCACCUGCCAAAGAAAACAAAAUCAAGAAUUAAAUUGGAGGUCAGGAUGCACGGCGCCUAUCAAUACAUCUCAGCAUCCGAAUGGCCAUUGAUGAUUGUGAGUACACAUAGUUUGUUGGUUUUUUUUUUUAAUUUUCUUUU
rnacentral:lncRNA from 1 species